rnacentral:tRNA from 1 species
AAAGACUUAGGAUAAAAGACCAAGAGCCUUCAAAGCCCUAAGUAGAAGUUAAAAUCUUCUAGUCUUUG